AACGAACGCUGGCGGCGCGCCUAAUACAUGCAAGUCGAGCGAGAAGACGUAGCAAUACGUUUGUAAAGCGGCGAACGGGUGAGGAAUACAUGGGUAACCUACCCUCGAGUGGGGAAUAACUAGCCGAAAGGUUAGCUAAUACCGCGUACGCUCCUUGGACUUCGGUUCAGGGAGGAAAGCGAUACCGUGGGUAUCGCGCUCUUGGAUGGGCCCAUGUCCUAUCAGCUUGUUGGUGAGGAACGGCUCACCAAGGCUUCGACGGGUAGCUGGUCUGAGAGGACGAUCAGCCACACUGGCACUGCGACACGGGCCAGACUCCUACGGGAGGCAGCAGUAAGGAAUAUUGCGCAAUGGGCGAAAGCCUGACGCAGCGACGCCGCGUGGGGGAUGAAGGUCUUCGGA
rnacentral:rRNA from 1 species